UUAAUGAACAAAUAAGAUAAUUUAAAACAGUGUAAGGGAGGUAAUCCAAAUACAACGUUUUGGUUACUUCCCUUACACUGCUUUUAAAUUAUGUUUAAAGAAAUGCAUAUUUAUAAAGGAAGACCAGUAUGGCGCAUUAGAUUUGUAAAAUCUUUGACCACAUUUAUUUAUUUGUUAUGCCGAAUCUAACCGUGUAUUUAGAUUUUUAAUUUCGGGUCCAGUUUUCAAAUUGGUCUACAUUAAGGUCCAAAGGGUCCAACAUUAAACUUUGUUUGAUUUUAACAAAAAUUGAAUAUAUGGGGUUCUUUGAUAUGCUGAAUCUAAACAUGUAUUUAGAUUUUUGAUUUCGGGCCCAGUUUUCAAGUUGGUCCAAAUUGGGGUCCAAAAUUAAACUUUGUUUGAUUUCAACAAAAAUUGAAUAUAUGGGGUUCUUUGAUAUACUGAAUCUAACCAUGUAUUUAGAUUUUUUAUUUGUGGACCCCGCUAUCAAAUUGGUUCAUAUUGAGGUCAAAAGGGUCCAAAAUUAAACUUUGUUUGAUUUCAUCAAAAAUUGAAUUAUUGGGGUUCUUUGAUAUGCCAAAUCUAACCGUGUAUUUAGAUUUUUAAUUUUGGGUCCCGUUUUUUAAAUUGGUCUACAUUAAGGUCCAAAGGGUCCAAAAUUAAACUUAGUUUGAUUUUAACAAAAAUUUAAUUUUUGGGGUUCUUUGAUAUGCUGAAUCUAAACAUGUGUUUAGAUUUUUGAUUAUGGGCCCAGUUUUCAAGUUGGUCCAAGUUGGGGUCCAAAAUUAAACUUUGUUUGAUUUUAACAAAAAUUGAAUAUAUGGGGUUCUUUGAUAUGCUGAAUCUAAACAUGUGUUUAGAAUUUUGAUUAUGGGCCCAGUUUUCAAGUUGGUCCAAGUUGGGGUCCAAAAUUAAACUUUGUUUGAUUUCAACAAAAAUUGAAUAUAUGGGGUUCUUUGAUAUGCUGAAUCUAAACAUGUAUUUAGAUUUUAGAUUUUUGGCCCAGUUUUCAAGUUGGUCCAAAUCGGGGUCCAAAAUUAAACUUUGUUUGAUUUCAACAAAAAUUGAAUAUAUGGGGUUCUUUCAUAUGCUGAAUCUUACCAUGUAUUUAGAUUUUUUAUUUGUGGGCCCGCUAUCAAAUUGGUUCAUAUUGAGGUCAAAAGGGUCCAAAAUUAAACUUUGUUUGAUUUUCAUCAAAAAUUGAAUUAUUGGGGGUUCUUUGAUAUGCCAAAUCUAACCGUGUAUUUAGAUUUUUAAUUUUGGGUCCCGUUUUUUAAAUUGGUCUACAUUAAGGUCCAAAGGGUCCAAAAUUAAACUUAGUUUGAUUUUAACAAAAAUUGAAUUUUUGGGGUUCUUUGAUAUGCUGAAUCUAAACAUGUGAUUAGAUUUUUGAUUAUGGGCCCAGUUUUCAAGUUGGUCCAAGUUGGGGUCCAAAAUUAAACUUUGUUUGAUUUCAACAAAAAUUGAAUAGAUGGGGUUCUUUGAUAUGCUGAAUCUAAACAUGUAUUUAGAUUUUUGAUUUCGGGCCCAGUUUUCAAGUUGGUCCAAAUUGGGGUCCAAAAUUAAACUUUGUUUGAUUUCAACAAAAAUUAAAUAUACGGGGUUCUUUGAUAAGCUGAAUCUUACCAUGUAUUUAGAUUUUUUAUUUCUGGGCCCGCUAUCAAAUUGGUUCAUAUUGAGGUCAAAAGGGUCCAAAAUUAAACUUUGUUUGAUUUCAUCAAAAAUUGAAUUAUUGGGGGUUCUUUGAUAUGCCAAAUCUAACCGUGUAUUUAGAUUUUUAAUUUUGGGUCCCGUUUUUUAAAUUGGUCUACAUUAAGGUCCAAAGGGUCCAAAAUUAAACUUAGUUUGAUUUUAACAAAAAUUGAAUUUUUGGGGUUCUUUGAUAUGCUGAAUCUAAACAUGUGUUUAGAUUUUUGAUUAUGGGCCCAGUUUUCAAGUUGGUCCAAGUUGGGGUCCAAAAUUAAACUUUGUUUGAUUUUAACAAAAAUUGAAUAUAUGGGGUUUUUUGAUAUGCUGAAUCUAAACAUGUGUUUAGAUUUUUGAUUAUGGGCCCAGUUUUCAAGUUGGUCCAAAUUGGGGUCCAAAAUUAAACUUUGUUUGAUUUCAACAAAAAUUGAAUAUAUGGGGUUCUUUGAUAUGCUGAAUCUUACCAUGUAUUUAGAUUUUUUAUUUGUGGGCCCGCUAUCAAAUUGGUUCAUAUUGAGGUCAAAAGGGUCCAAAAUUAAACUUUGUUUGAUUUCAUCAAAAAUUGAAUUAUUGGGGUUCUUUGAUAUGCCAAAUCUAACCGUGUUUUUAGAUUUUUAAUUUUGGGUCCCGUUUUUUAAAUUGGUCUACAUUAAGGUCCAAAGGGUCCAAAAUUAAACUUAGUUUGAUUUUAACAAAAAUUGAAUUCUUGGGGUUUUUUGAUAUGCUGAAUCUAAACAUGUGUUUAGAUUUUUGAUUAUGGGCCCAGUUUUCAAGUUUGUCCAAGUUGGGGUCCAAAAUUAAACUUUGUUUGAUUU